AGUCGAACGUGAAGCCGCCCUUCGGGGCGGUGGAAAGUGGCACACGGGUGAGUAACGCGUGGUAACCUGCCCCUUGGUACGGAAUAACCGCGGGAAACUGCGGCUAAUACCGUAUACGCCCUGAGGGGGAAAGAUUUAUCGCCGAGGGAGGGGCCCGCGUCGGAUUAGGUAGUUGGUGGGGUAACGGCCUACCAAGCCGACGAUCCAUAGCUGGUCUUAGAGGACGAUCAGCCACACUGGGACUGAGACACGGCCCAGACUCCUACGGGAGGCAGCAGUGGGGAAUAUUGGACAAUGGGGGAAACCCUGAUCCAGCAAUGCCGCGUGGGUGACGAAGGCCUUAGGGUUGUAAAGCCCUUUCGGCGGGGAAGAUGAUGACGGUACCCGCAGAAGAAGCCCCGGCUAACUCCGUGCCAGCAGCCGCGGUAAUACGGAGGGGGCUAGCGUUGUUCGGAAUUACUGGGCGUAAAGGGCGUGUAGGCGGUCCCUCAAGUCAGGCGUGAAAGCCCUGAGCUUAACCUAGGAGGUGCGCUUGAAACUGAUGGGCUUGAGACCGGGAGAGGAGAGUGGAAUUCCCAGUGUAGAGGUGAAAUUCGUAGAUAUUGGGAAGAACACCAGUAGCGAAGGCGGCUCUCUGGCCCGGUUCUGA
rnacentral:rRNA from 1 species